rnacentral:lncRNA from 1 species
GUUUAGGCUCUUCAUCAGAGUGAUUACUGAUGAUGUGCUUGACUCAAUACAAGAUGCUCUGGCUGACGAGCGAAUUUCAAUGGACUCAUCCUGUUCAGAGAAUGAUUCCAGAGACUGUUUAAUUGCCUUUUCAGCUCUAUAUUCUUUUGAGAGAAUACAGAUGAGCAACAGUUACCUCAAGUUCAAAACACCUUUUCUUCUUGAGAGGUAGAGCUGUGGGUACACUAUCCC